UCCGGAGGGGGCGAGCGUUACCCGGAUUUACUGGGUGUAAAGGGCAUGUAGGCGGUCUCUCAAGUCCGAUGCUAAAGCCCGAAGCUCAACUUCGGGAGGGCGUUGGAUACUGUGAGGCUAGAGGGUCGGAGGGGGUAGCGGAAUUUCCGGAGUAGCGGUGAAAUGCGCAGAUACCGGGAGGAACGCCGGUAGCGAAGGCAGCUACCUGGACCAUUGGUGACGCUGAGGCGCGAAAGCGUGGGGAGAAAACCGG
rnacentral:rRNA from 1 species